rnacentral:lncRNA from 1 species
AACUGAAAAUUAGAUAUAAUUUUAUUGAUAUAUCAUAUAUUUGUAGUAAUAUAAAAAUAACUUUUAUUUUGUUUUGGCUUGAUCCACAUUAAAAAAAUAAUAAUAAUUUUGCUUAAGUAACUUGUGUAGUAAACAAAUAUUAUGAUAGAAAAUAAAAAAAAUUAUAAAUGUCCUAGGAUAAAUAUAGAAUUCAUGGUUAAACCAAUUCAAUAAAAUUUAUUCUAAUUGUUUUAAUACAAUUUUUUUUUCAAUAAAUGAGGGAUUUUUUUCUUAAUUAAAUUAAAUAAAUAAACUAUUUUCUAAUUUAGUUAAAGUUUAAUGUUGAUUUAUAAGUUUUAUAUUAUUUUUAUAAGUAUUUUUAAUUUUUAAUCUUAAAAUAUCAAUUAACCACACUUAUAUUAAUUUAUUUAUUCGUACAGCAGUCUUGAGUUUUUGAAUUAAAUGAUUUACUAAUUGACGAUAUUAGUGCUAAAGUUUCGUAUUUGAACUCUCCACAACAAGUUCAUUUGUAUCGAUUAAAUUAUGUUUCAAUUAUUUCUCAUUGGCAUGAUGUAUGUCUAAAUUAUAAAAAAAUAUAUUCAUUACUUAUUAAUGUCGCAAUUAAUUACGACAUGAUAGAACAAAAACUAACAAACAUAAAGAAUUUGAAUCAUCCUUCAAUAAUAACAUAAAUAGCAACUCGUGAGGCUUGUAAUUUGAUCAUUUCUGUUUUUCUCAAUGCAUUAUGGACUCUAAGAACAGGCUCUAAAAUCAAAUAAAUGCUACAGUUGUAUGCAAUUGACAAAUAAAAUAUUAAAAUAAAUAUAGUUAACUAAAUUAACACAUAUAUGUCAUGUAAAUUAUUUUUAGUAUUUUGCUAUUAUCAAUAUUCUUGAUAGUUUUAACUAAUACUUCAAUCCAUUAAUCCAAAAAUUAACUUUAAAUUUAUGCUAAUAUAGACAUGAUAUAAAAAAAGGUAAUAUAAAAAAUUAUAAAUAAAAUAUAUAACAUAGAAUUUGUAAGUUAUUUUGAAUGUUAAAUGUAUAUUGAAUUUAUAUUAUUAGUAUGCGAAAAAUAGAAUUUAUAUUACAGAAUAAUAAUAUAAAAAUAAUUUUGCUUAAUAUUCAAAAUAAUUUUUAAAAUUUAUAAUAGUUUAUAUAUUAGAUUAUUUUAAUAUUAUAUAUGUACUUAUUACAGAAAUUUAUUUAAAAUAAAUUUUUGUGUUGUUAUAAUUCAAGGGAUAAUUGUUAAAAAAGGGUCUUAAUGAAUAUUUAUGAAGCCAAGAGAAUUUAUGUGACCAUUUUAGCAAAUUUUUUCCUUUAAAAUAAUUAUACAAAAUUUCACAUUCCAGCUUGUCUCCACUUUCUUCUUUUCUAACGUAGAUCCAGGAUAUGGAAAUUAAUACUGAAAUACUUGCUUUAGGCAAAUAAAUUUGUUUCAGGGGAAAGCAGAGGACUUCUAUUUGGAGAAUUUGUGCGUCACACAAAUUCUAUCUUCCCAUCUCCGUUGUUGUUUGUUUGUAUGACAAAACGAAAAGCAAGUCUUGGUCAAAAAGUGACAUUUUAAUUAUUUUCAUCGUGUCUACCCACAGUACAUCAUAUGACAUUACCGCGAAAUUUCCUGGAAGCUUCAAUUGUAUGAAUACACGGGACUAAAUCUAAAAACGUCUAUUAGAAGUAGAUUUCUGAGUCAUUCCCAUUAAAUAUAAUCGUAACAUUAGUAAGAUUACGAUGAUUCCUUUUUGAAUGCUCAUGGUCAUGGAGGCCAUAAUAUUUGAUCUUAAAAAAUCAGUACAAAAUAAGUGACAAGAUUCCAUCAAAAUGAUGGGCUUAUUGCAAAUCAAGGAGUUGAUACAUAACAAAUUAAAUUA